rnacentral:tRNA from 1 species
GCCGAGGUGGCGGAAUGGCAGACGCGGCGGACUUAAAAUCCGCUCUCCGCUAAGGAGGUGUGGGUUCGAGUCCCUCCCUCGGCA